rnacentral:rRNA from 1 species
GCAGUCGAACGGGAUCCAAGCAGCUUGCUGUUUGGUGAGAGUGGCGAACGGGUGAGUAAUGCGUGACCGACCUGCCCCAUGCUCCGGAAUAGCUCCUGGAAACGGGUGGUAAUGCCGGAUGCUCCAGUUGACCGCAUGGUCUUCUGGGAAGGAUUUUAUCGGCAUGGGAUGGGGUCGCGUCCUAUCAGCUUGUUGGUGGGGCAAUGGCCCACCAAGGCUUCGACGGGUAGCCGGCCUGAGAGGGCGACCGGCCACAUUGGGACUGAGAUACGGCCCAGACUCCUACGGGAGGCAGCAGUGGGGAAUAUUGCACAAUGGGCGCAAGCCUGAUGCAGCGACGCCGCGUGAGGGAUGACGGCCUUCGGGUUGUAAACCUCUUUUGUUAGGGAGCAAGCGUAAGUGAGUGUACCUUUCGAAUAAGCACCGGCUAACUACGUGCCAGCAGCCGCGGUAAUACGUAGGGUGCAAGCGUUAUCCGGAAUUAUUGGGCGUAAAGAGCUCGUAGGCGGCUUGUCGCGUCCGGUGUGAAAGUCCAUCGCUUAACGGUGGAUCUGCGCCGGGUACGGGCAGGCUAGAAUGCGGUAGGGGAGACUGGAAUUCCCGGUGUAACGGUGGAAUGUGUAGAUAUCGGGAAGAACACCAAUGGCGAAGGCAGGUCUCUG